rnacentral:misc_RNA from 1 species
GAAAUGCGAUAAGUAAUGUGAAUUGCAGAAUUCAGUGAAUCAUCGAAUCUUUGAACGCACCUUGCGCUCCUUGGUAUUCCUUGGAGCAUGCCUGUUUGAGUAUCAUGAAAUCUUCAAAGUAAAUCUUUUGUUAACUCAAUUGGUUUCUACUUUGGUAUUGGAGGUCUUUGCAGCUUCACACCUGCUCCUCUUUGUUCAUUAGCUGGAUCUCAGUGUUAUGCUUGGCUCCACUCGGCGUGAUAAGUUAUCUAUCGCUGAGGACACUGUAAAAGGUGGCCAAGGUAAAUGCAGAUGAACCGCUUCUAAUAGUCCAUUGACUUGGACAAUACUUUUAUGAUCUGAUCUCAAAUCAGGUAGGACUACCCGCUGAACUUAAGC